AUCAGUGUGGUAUAGUGGUUUGAAUAUUGGACUACAACUCUGGAGACCAGGGUUCAAUGCCCUACUCGCUGAUG
rnacentral:tRNA from 1 species